rnacentral:rRNA from 1 species
UACGGAGGAUCCGAGCGUUAUCCGGAUUUAUUGGGCGUAAAGCGCGCGCAGGCGGUCCUUUAAGUCUGAUGUGAAAGCCCACGGCUCAACCGUGGAGGGUCAUUGGAAACUGGGGGACUUGAGUACUGAAGAGGAAAGUGGAAUUCCACGUGUAGCGGUGAAAUGCGUAGAGAUGUGGAGGAACACCAGUGGCGAAGGCGACUUUCUGGUCAGUAACUGACGCUGAGGCGCGAAAGCGUGGGGAGCAAAC